rnacentral:rRNA from 1 species
AUGACGUCUCCUAGCUCCCCGGCGAUGACCCUAUCCCACCCCAGCUCCGGGCGACAUUUCUACCUCGCCGUUGACCGCCUCCAGUUCAAGAUGAGGACACUACUGGAGCUCCUAGGUGUUGUCUCUGAUCGCCACGGCUCGGUGCCCAUUGCCAUAUGUGUUUCAUCCCGGGCUGAGCUCGAUGCUGUCUGUGCUGCUGUUGCCAACCUCCCCUUCGUGUCCUUAUCACCGCAGUACAGCGAUCAAGAUGAAGCUGAGCGUGCAUCUGUUCUUGAGAAAUCCCGUUGGGCAGCAAUACUGCGAAAUCAGAUUGAAGAUACUUCUAUUGAUGGAAGUCCCAAGCCUGAAAGGGUGGUCUUGAAGCUAAAUAUUACAGUUGUAACAGAUGCUUGCUUGCCUUCGGCGGCGAUGGGAGAGGCUCCGCUUAUGUCUCGUGUGCUGAUAAACUAUGAAUGGCCUACAAAGAAGGAGGCUUACUUAAGACGUGUAUCAGCAUGCUUGGGAACAGAUGGAAUCGUGAUUAAUAUGGUGGUUGGUGGUGAGGUAGCUCUUCUAAAGUCUCUGGAAGAAACCAGUGGAUUCGAGGGGUUGGCGUGUUGUUUCCGUGGGAUUUGCGAGCAUCUUCGUAAACCUGCGACGAGUUCUUGCUGCGAUGGAGUUUUGUGUCGUGAAAGAUCGGACCAACAACGGAAUGACCCUCGUCUCGAGGUUCGCUCCUCAUCAAGUGGUAUCAGAGCACUGGUGUUUCUCACGGCACUUCGAAGGAGACGGCCGGCGCGCCGUCAGCAAGGAGCUGUUGGAGGCUCUCCGGCGAUUUUUUGCUGGAGGAGAAAGGUUAUGGUGCUGACCUUUUUCACACCUACUGUAAAGUGGGAGAGAGAGUCUGCGCCAUGA